UACGGGGGGGGCAAGCGUUGUUCGGAAUUACUGGGCGUAAAGGGCUCGUAGGCGGCCAACUAAGUCAGACGUGAAAUCCCCAGGCUUAACCUGGGAACUGCGUCUGAUACUGGAUGGCUUGAAUCCGGGAGAGGGAUGCAGAAUUCCAGGUGUAGCGGUGAAAUGCGUAGAUAUCUGGAGGAAUACCGGUGGCGAAGGCGGCAUCCUGGACCGGCAUUGACGCUGAGGUGCGAAAGCGUGGGGAGCAAACAGG
rnacentral:rRNA from 1 species